CCUCAGUUGCUCAAACUCAAACAUUUUCAGUUCUCUGGAACUGUCUGGAAAAGCCCAUCCAGCGAACUCAUUCGCGAAUUCCUCCCAUGUCAUGCCGUCUAGUCUCGGGUCCACAUAACACUUGAACCAUUCCCGUGCCUUCUUGCACUUUAAGGUGAACCCUGCCAUCUGAAUGGCCCUGCUGUCAUUUGCCCCUAGCUCAUCAGUUAUUGUCUUCACUACUCUCAGAUACUCAAAGGGGUCGUCCCCUGACUUGUAUUUGGG
rnacentral:lncRNA from 1 species